CACGUAGUUAGCCGGUGCUUAUUCUUCAGGUACCGUCAUUAGCAGGCUAUGUUAGAGCCCGCCGUUUCUUCCCUGACAAAAGAGCUUUACAACCCGAAGGCCUUCUUCACUCACGCGGCAUUGCUGGAUCAGGCUUGCGCCCAUUGUCCAAAAUUCCCCACUGCUGCCUCCCGUAGGAGUCUGGACCGUGUCUCAGUUCCAGUGUGGCUGGUCGUCCUCUCAGACCAGCUACUGAUCGUCGCCUUGGUAGGCUUUUACCCUACCAACUAGCUAAUCAGAUAUCGGCCGCUCCAAUAGCGCGAGGUCUUGCGAUCCCCCGCUUCCAUCCGUAGAUCGUAUGCGGUAUUAAUCCGGCUUUCGCCGGGCUAUCCCCCGACUACUGGGCACGUUCCGAUAUAUUACUCACCCGUUCGCCACUCGCCACCAGGAGCAAGCUCCCGUGCUGCCGUUCGACUUGCAUGUGUAAGGCAUGCCGCCAGCGUUCAA
rnacentral:rRNA from 1 species